rnacentral:rRNA from 1 species
AACGUAGGUUCCGAGCGUUAUCCGGAUUUACUGGGCGUAAAGCGCGUUCAGGCGGUUUGGCAAGUCGGGCAUGAAAUCUCUCGGCUCAACCGGGAGAGGUUGUCCGAUACUGCUGGACUUGAGGGCAGUAGAGGGUGGUGGAAUUCCGGGUGUAGUGGUGAAAUGCGUAGAUAUCGGGAGGAACACCAGUGGCGAAAGCGGCCACCUGGACUGCACCUGACGCUGACACGCGAAAGCUAGGGGAGCGAACGGG